rnacentral:lncRNA from 1 species
GUGCUUGGAGCAGUGAAUGCUAUACUGUAGGUGCAUAUGGCAUAACUGUUAGCUAAUGUGAUUACUAGUCCAUACGGAACAUAACUUCCCAUUUCCCUAGUAUAGGCCCCCUCUCAUCCACACUCAGAGCCUCCUCUUCGGAUGGCCCCAGGGAAAUACAGGCUCCUUACUCUUCCCCCUAAAUCCCCAACUUGAAGCUCUGUCUCACAGCAAAAUUAAUGCUGGAAACGUCUGCUCCUAUAGGACUGAAACCUCAGACACAGGGAGCUGGCCUAUUCACCUUAGAAUCCUCUGGGGCACCCACUACAGUGUCUGCAGCAAGGAGUCAAUAAAGAACCGGGGAACAGACUGGAGCAGAAGGACCACCCAGCAGAGCCAAGCCAAAUCACUGACCCUCAGAGACCUGAUGUGAAUGCUUAUGGUUUCAGUCCACUGGAUUCUGCAGUAAUCUGCUGAUCUGCAAUAUUACCACAGUAAAUAAUGGAUAGACCUGAAAAUGAACGUGUACCUCAUGCCAAAAUUGCAGAUACCCCGUGAGCAGGAAACCUCAGCAGUAGAAACAAUUUUAUAUGAGGGAAUGUACUCUCUCCUUUGCAUUUUUCCUCAAAUCUGUAUUUUUAGUCCCUCACUUGUCUCUACAGAGACAAGUCUCUACAGAGACAAGUGAGUUGCUUAAUCUAAUUGCUGACUGUACAUCUCCAGGAAACUGUGUUUGCAGGGUCAACAUUUCAUCCUCUAGAAAGCAGGGCAAUUCAUGGCUUGGAGUCUUCUCGUUUACAUUCUAGAAACCAGAACAAAUUUCAUGGGACCCCUCACCGCCAACAACCAGCAGGGAAGGUGGAGAGAGGGCCACAGCUGUCUUUGGUAGGGCGCCUGUGUGUGCCUGCUGUGUGCAUGUGCUGGAGAGACUAAGCAUAGAGAAGGGCCCAAGCGAUGAGGGAAAGUGAGUCUCCUGGCUGCUCCAGUCCCUUCUUUCCAGGCACAAAGAAGUUGAACUUGUUUUUCAUGUAGGCCCCGUUCAUCUCACUUCAGCUUUUAGUAACAGUGUGUAUGUGCAUGAGUAGCUGUGUGUGACAGAGUAAGUCCCUGUGCCUUUCUAGAUUUCAGUAAUUCAGGUUUGCGGUUUCAAGAGAAAUAAUCUGUAAAUGACACAAGAACAAAUUUAUAAGUUAGAUUAGCAACUUUACGUUGCUUAAAAUCUGAUGUUAUAUUUUUAAAACUGCCCCUGGGUACAGGCAAAAUUAUAUGGCCACUGGAACUGAAGUCCUUACCAGCUGUAUGAGGAAUAUUCAGAUUGUUUCUGUUAUCUCUGCAUUUUAAAGUAGCAAAAUACUAGCCAUUAGGUUAUUGAACCUGUA